rnacentral:lncRNA from 1 species
GAUAGAGAAAAGAAUGAAGGAACAUAAGAAGGAUAUCUUGCAGGCUAAACUUAAUACAGCCCUAGCAUGUGAGGCAUAUAGUUGGAAUAUUACUGUAAAAUGGGAUGAAGUUAAAUGCAUGAGACAGCUAGAGAAAGGUGUGCAGCCGAAUGUGAUAGAAUCUGUGGAAAUUUUAAGACGAGCAGAGCGAGAAACCUUGAUUAAUGACAAAUUAGCUUGAGAACCAUCUACAGCUUGGAAAUAUCUGCUUAAUAGAAGGAUAGAUGAUUGAUGCAGAGGAUUGUAUAAUGGAGUUGCGAAGUUCUAGCUUAGAAAGGUUUAAACCUAUGUUAUGAAGAUAAUUAUACUUUUGAUGUAAUUAUAGAGACUUUAAGGAUAAGCAUAAUAUUUCAUUAGUUAUUACUUUAAUGUUUUUUGUUUUAUUUUACUUGUGUUUUUUAUGUUAUGAAGAUCUUUAAGAUGUAAAUGUCCU